UCCCUCCCAUAGACGCUGCAUUACAAACACCCUUGCAUUAGCGUUUUUUGAUGCAAAUGUGAUAUAAUACAAUAAUGUAAUAAUGUUAUAAAUGUACAUACUUUCGAGGAUUUACGAUGCUGAUGACCGUUAAACGCGUCAUCACAGUCUUGUGAAAAGGGUCCAUAGUAAAAAAAAAAAGCAGAGAAAAUACUGUUUUAUAGUUUAUUGUGUGUGUGUGUGUGUUUAUAUAUUUCAAUACAUUUUAAUGGCGUGAGGCGCUAGGGGGCGCUGUGUAUCUAACAUGGCAUUUUUUCUAUCCAUUUCAGAGCGAGAUGUUUUGAUUUGACACCUGAUCGUGGCUCUUUUGGACACCGAAAACGUGUAAUUCUGAUAGAUUUAAAGUCUUUGAUUAUGAAUACAAAAUGAAACAGUGUUUAAAAUGUUUCAUAUGCAAAUGAUGUGCAUUAGUAUAAUCAUUCAACCUCUGUCUAAAUGUCUGGACCUCUCUUUUAUACUUAACGCUUGAUAUGUGAUUUUUUUUUUACAGCUUGCUGUCCAUAUAGGCCUCUGAUCUCCUGUUCACACUCAUAGUUCAUGGAUGAAGAACAAUCAAUAUCUGCAAAUACAAAUGGGAACAGAAAUUCGCACGUGGGCAUGUAUAGAUUCACAUGUGAAAAUCUUUACAUGACAACAAUUUACGGGUGUACUGUAUAUCCGAAAGUGCCGGGGAUGAGAGGAUUCACAUAUGACAAGGUACUGUGAUUCAAGCCAAUGAUCUGAAUUAAACAUCAGGGUCUGAAGAAUGGAUGUCUCCUCUCAUAGGAUAUAACACAUUAUGAAUCAGGAAACAGAUAGUGUCUAAUGUCCAAUCACACAGACAGUGCCAAUAUGAGAAGGAAACUUGACUUAGUUGAUGUAAUAGUGUUUGGAUGGCUUAUGCCAUUGAGCUCUGCCACAUCAUCUUGAGGCCUAACACGUUGAUUUCUCACAACCUGCCGCAUGAAUAUCGUCUGAACGGCAACAUAAAAAAAACGGAGAGGCAAAGAGGGUGAGUGGAGUGGCAAACAAAAGUCCAGCUGUGAGCCUGUAGAACCAGCGUCUAAAUGAAGACGGAAAAGAUGGAAAACCAAAUGUGUUAGAA
ensembl:lncRNA